GGGGAUUUAGCUCAGUGGUAGAGCGCUUGCCUCGCAAGCGCAAGGCUCUGGGUUCGGUCCCCAGCUCCG
rfam:Rattus norvegicus chromosome 14, whole genome shotgun sequence.